rnacentral:rRNA from 1 species
ACACAUGCAAGUCGAGGGACCGGCGCACGGGUGAGUAACACGUAUCCAACCUUCCGUUUACUCAGGGAUAGCCUUUCGAAAGAAAGAUUAAUACCUGAUAGUAAACGAUGGGGAUGCGUUCCAUUAGGUAGUAGGCGGGGUAACGGCCCACCUAGCCGACGAUGGAUAGGGGUUCUGAGAGGAAGGUCCCCCACAUUGGAACUGAGACACGGUCCAAACUCUACGGGAGGCAGCAGUGAGGAAUAUUGGUCAAUGGGCGAGAGCCUGAACCAGCCAAGUAGCGUGAAGGAUGAAGGUCUACGGAUUGUAAACUUCUUUUAUACGGGAAUAUGUACCGUAUGAAUAAGCAUCGGCUAACUCCGUGCCAGCAGCCGCGGUAAUACGGAGGAUGCGAGCGUUAUCCGGAUUUAUUGGGUUUAAAGGGAGCGCAGACGGGAGAUUAAGUCAGUUGUGAAAGUUUGCGGCUCAACCGUAAAAUUGCAGUUGAUACUGGUUUCCUUGAGUGCAGUUGAGGCAGGCGGAAUUCGUGGUGUAGCGGUGAAAUGCUUAGAUAUCACGAAGAACCCCGAUUGCGAAGGCAGCUUGCUAAACUGUAACUGACGUUCAUGCUCGAAAGUGUGGGUAU